rnacentral:rRNA from 1 species
ACGGUUACCUUGUUACGACUUCACCCCAGUCAUCGGAUCUGCCUUCGGCAGCUCCCCCCUUACGGUUGGGCCACUGACUUCGGGCAUUCCCAACUCCCAUGGUGUGACGGGCGGUGUGUACAAGACCCGGGAACGUAUUCACCGCGGCAUUCUGAUCCGCGAUUACUAGCGAUUCCGGCUUCAUGCAGCCGAGUUGCAGGCUGCAAUCCGAACUGGGGCGCUGUUUCUGGGGUUCGCUCCGCGUCGCCGCAUCGCAUCCCUCUGUUAACGCCAUUGUAGCACGUGUGUAGCCCAAGCCAUAAGGGGCAUGAUGAUUUGACGUCAUCCCCGCCUUCCUCCAGGUUGUCCCUGGCAGUCCCCACAGAGUGCCCGCCUCCACGCGCUGGCUACUGGGGGUAGGGGUUGCGCUCGUUGCGGGACUUAACCCAACAUCUCACGACACGAGCUGACGACAACCAUGCACCACCUGUCUCUGCCGCCCCGAGGGGGGCAUACAUUGCAUAUGCUGCCGGCAGGAUGUCAAGGCUUGGUA